AUUGAACGCUGGCGGCAGGCCUAACACAUGCAAGUCGAGCGGAGCGGCGGACGGGCGAGUGAGGCAUAGGAAUCUGCCUGCCCGAGGGGGAUAACGUCCGGCAACGGGCGCUAGUACCGCAUCCUUUCAGAUGAGUCUAGGUCGGAUUAGCUCGUUGGUGGGGUAAAGGCCUCCCGAGGCGGCGAUCCGUAACUGGUCUGAGAGGAUGAGCAGUCACACUGGAACGGAUACACGGUCCAGACUCCGACGGGAGGCAGCAGUGGGGAAGAUUGGACAAUGGGCGAAAGCCUGAUCCAGCCAUGCCGCGUGUGUGAAGAAGGUCUUCGGAUUGUAAAGCACUUUAAGUUGGGAGGCGUUACCAGCAGAAUAAGCACCGGCUAACUUCGUGCCAGCAGCCGCGGUAAUAC
rnacentral:rRNA from 1 species